CAUCCAGGACAAUGGUGAGUGCCGGUGCCUGCCCUGGGGCCGUCCCUGCGCAGGGGCCGAGUGCUCACCGCAUCUGCCCC
ensembl:miRNA